rnacentral:lncRNA from 1 species
GGGUCGGAAAGGGUCCCCAGCCCAGGAGCUUCUGUGUCCGUGGAGUGGGGGGCACCACCCUCCUGGCCCGUGGAUGUGUUCAGCAACCUGGAACUGCUCGGGACCCAUAGUCCAGGCAUUCUUAUGGAGGCUCCAUCGCAGACAUGAAGGAUGAUGGUGGAUGAUCCCUGGAGGAGGGUGGGUGCAGGGUUGAGAGCUGCAGGUGCUAAUCCUGGCUGGUCUCUCUGGUGACUGGACCCCCUCCAGGAGCCACCAAGCCUCACCUCAUUUGAAUGGAAGAAUCUGCUGCCAUCACCCAGGAAAUUCGAGGGCUUUUGGAGCCCUGUGCGGGGUCUCGGGAGCAGAGACCAGAUCUAUUCAUUUCUCAUUUCAUCACCCCAUCUUGCCAGGUAGAGACGGUGUCUGUGUCUGGGCUCCCAGGCUGGACCCCAGAGGCCUGCUGUAUAUGCGCCCGCUGGCGUUGCCAUCACGGGGCACUCUCAUGGGCGGCUUAAACAGCGGGAAAGGAGGCGGGAAGGCCGAGAACAAGGUGAAAGCCAGGAAGAUGGGUGAAUUGUUGUUUAAAACAUCUCAGAAUAUAUACAUGAGCAGAAUGAGCAGAACAGAAGUUAAAGAUAGAGCUUCUUCCAGCGCAGAAAUGGCAGUUGCAUCAUACCUGUUUAGCAUCAUGGCUUCCAGCUAACUACCCAUCCAUUCACUGGAAGAUAUUUUUGAAGCCUUGCUGUGUCAUUAGAGCAGAGCCUCGUUCUGAACUCCUGGUCCAGCAGGCCCUGCUGCAGAGGCUGCUGCAGCUCAUGGCACACUUGGACAGCGGCAGCACUCUCUUCUCUGAGGCCUCUCUCUUCAACGUUUUGUAAGACUGUAUUUGCAUGUUUAUUUUUAUGUAAAUGCUGAAACAUCUGGUCUAGUUUAAAAAAUAAACACAAAACACAGCCAAAAGCACACUGUUGGCAUUUUC